GCCUGCAUGAAGUCGGAAUUGCUAGUAAUCGCAGAUCAGCAUGCUGCGGUGAAUACGUUCCCGGGCCUUGUACACACCGCCCGUCACACCAUGGGAGUCGGUAACACCCGAAGCCUGUAGUCUAACCCGCAAGGAGGACGCAGUCGAAGGUGGGAUUGAUGACUGGGGUGAAGUCGUAACAAGGUAAC
rnacentral:rRNA from 1 species